rnacentral:rRNA from 1 species
AAAAACUUUCAACAACGGAUCUCUUGGUUCUGGCAUCGAUGAAGAACGCAGCGAAAUGCGAUAAGUAAUGCGAAUUGCAGAAUCCGUGAGUCAUCGAAUCUUUGAACGCACAUUGCGCCCCUUGGUAUUCCGAGGGGCAUGCCUGUUCGAGCGUCAUUA